rnacentral:rRNA from 1 species
CACGGGGGGAGCAAGCGUUGUUCGGAAUCACUGGGCGUAAAGGGCGUGUAGGCGGUCGGGUAAGUGGAAUGUGAAAUCCCUCGGCUCACCCGAGGACCUGCAUCCCAAACUGCCUGGCUUGAGUAUGGGAGAGGAUGAGGGAAUUCCUGGUGUAGCGGUGAAAUGCGUAGAUAUCAGGAGGAACACCGGUGGCGAAGGCGGCCCUCUGGACGGUGACUGACGCUGAGGCACGAAGGUCAGGGGAGCAAACGGG